GCGAACGGGUGAGUAACACGUGGGCAAUCUGCCCUGCACUCUGGGACAAGCCCUGGAAACGGGGUCUAAUACCGGAUAUCACUUCCACUCGCAUGAGUGGGGGUCGAAAGCUCCGGCGGUGCAGGAUGAGCCCGCGGCCUAUCAGCUUGUUGGUGAGGUAACGGCUCACCAAGGCGACGACGGGUAGCCGGCCUGAGAGGGCGACCGGCCACACUGGGACUGAAACACGGCCCAAACUCCUACGGGAGGCAGCAGUGGGGAAUAUUGCACAAUGGGCGAAAGCCUGAUGCAGCGACCCCGCGUGAGGGAUGACGGCCUUCGGGUUGUAAACCUCUUUCAGCAGGGAAAAAGCGAAAGUGACGGUACCUGCAGAAAAAGCGCCGGCUAACUACGUGCCAGCAGCCGCGGUAAUACGUAAGGCGCAAGCGUUGUCCGGAAUUAUUGGGCGUAAAGAGCUCGUAAGCGGCUUGUCACGUCCGGUGUGAAAGCCCGGGGCUUAACCCCGGGUCUGCAUUCCAUACGGGCUAGCUAGAGUGUGGUAAGGGAGAUCGGAAUUCCUGGUGUAGCGGUGAAAUGCGCAGAUAUCAGGAGGAACACCGGUGGCGAAGGCGGAUCUCUGGGCCAUUACUGACGCUGAAGAGCGAAAGCGUGGGGAGCGAACAGGAUUAGAUACCCUGGUAGUCCA
rnacentral:rRNA from 1 species